rnacentral:lncRNA from 1 species
AUGCGUGCCAGCGCCCAUGCAAAUCUGCUGUACAUCCAGAGAGCAAAGUGGGAUGAUCUGUCACUACACCUGCAGCACCACGUUCGGAGGACAGCUCCUGCUCGCAGCUUCUAGACCCAGGAAGCCUGAGGGGAAGAAAGGAAGUACGGGCGAAAUCAUCAGAUUGGCUUCCCAGAUUGGGGAAUCUGAAGCGGGCCCACAUCUUCCGGCCAACUUCCAUUGAACUUCCCAGUACUCGAAAGGGACGGAAAUGGAGAGCAAAG